GAUGAACGCUGGCGGCGUGCUUAACACAUGCAAGUCGAACGGAAAGGCUCCUGCUUGCAGGGGUACUCGAGUGGCGAACGGGUGAGUAACACGUGGGUGAUCUGCCCUGCACUUCGGGAUAAGCCUGGGAAACUGGGUCUAAUACCGGAUAGGACCACAUUUUGGAUGGUGUGGUGGAAAGUUUUUCGGUGUGGGAUGAGCUCGCGGCCUAUCAGCUUGUUGGUGGGGUAAUGGCCUACCAAGGCGUCGACGGGUAGCCGGCCUGAGAGGGUGUACGGCCACAUUGGGACUGAGAUACGGCCCAGACUCCUACGGGAGGCAGCAGGGGGGAAUAUUGCACAAUGGGCGAAAGCCUGAUGCAGCGACGCCGCGUGGGGGAUGACGGCCUUCGGGUUGUAAACUCCUUUCGCUAGGGACGAAGCGUUUUUGUGACGGUACCUGGAGAAGAAGCACCGGCUAGCUACGUG
rnacentral:rRNA from 1 species